rnacentral:tRNA from 1 species
GUCUCCUUCGUCCAGCGGUUAGGACACCGGGUUUUCAUCCCGGCAACAGGGGUUCGAUUCCCCUAGGAGAUG